GAUGAAGAACGCAGCGAAAUGCGAUAAGUAAUGUGAAUUGCAGAAUUCAGUGAAUCAUCGAAUCUUUGAACGCACAUUGCGCCCGCCAGUAUUCUGGCGGGCAUGCCUGUUCGAGCGUCAUUACAACCCUCAGGCCCCCGGGCCUGGCGUUGGGGAUCGGCGGAAGCCCCCUGCGGGCACAACGCCGUCCCCCAAAUACAGUGGCGGUCCCGUCGCAGCUUCCAUUGCGUAGUAGCUAACACCUCGCAACUGGAGAGCGGCGCGGCCACGCCGUAAAACACCCAACUUCUGAAUGUUGACCUCGAAUCAGGUAGGAAUACCCGCUGAACUUAAGCAUAUCAAUAAGCGGAGGA
rnacentral:misc_RNA from 1 species